AUAUCCUCUCUCCUCAUCUUCCCUGCCUCCUCUAAUCUCUCCUCUCUUCUAUGUAGCUCUCUUUGAACAUGAACAGUUACUGUUUUAUAUUGUUGGAUCUUAUUUGUUUAGCAUUGUCUCACUAUCAGAAGAUGAUCCAAUACGCUUAGCUCUGGUUGUGUGGGUUGGUUAAUUUGAGAGAAGAAUCAUCAGUUGCCAUUGUUCUGAUGCGCAGAACAUCAUCAACUACCACCUACAAGGCCACACAAACGGUCCUCCAUCAGCUCUACGAGAUGAACCUGCCGUCCUACACUUGGCUCUACAACUACGUUCUCAUUAGGUUGGACCAUUAGAUGGCGAUUAUUUCAUUCACCUGCUCGCAAUGCACUGUGCUAGGGUUCAUUUCUUUGGCUUGGUUCGUAUCUACAGGAGAGGCAGGACCUGGCUUAGUAAGUGAUGAUCACACACCUUCACCUAUACGGCAAAUGGAUCAAGGUAGUAAUUCAGAGAUCAGUUCAUCAGCUAGAUUUUGAAAUGAAGUUACCCUGCUCUCUGCUGCCUAGAUUUUAUAAAACGGCUGUCUGUGAUCUAAUAUUCCCCCUAAUUCAGUGUAUUCAUGAGUUAAAUGAGAAUAUCAGUCAUCAUAUUGAGAUCAUUUGUUGUUAUGUUCGAAUAACUAGGCCAUGCCUUUUGGCAUCUUGUUUGCUUGUAGAACUAUUUUGCUUCAGCAAUGUGUAGUCUGAUCUUCCAUGAACCAAACCAAAAUUGUGAGUGCAUUGCUGGACCUCUCACUUUUAUGGUUCUCAGUUGUCAAACCAAUUCGGAUUCCAUAAUAUUGUAGUGAACCAAACAUUGACCAAUCAUGAUUGAUGAUCAGCUUUCCUGUAGUGUGUUGGGAGGCCAGCUCCAUAGACCCUAUUUGAUUUUAGCGUCGGGUCAAUCAAACAGGCCAAGAAAAUAGGAUAACCUCAGUUUGGUGCUGGGAAUCAAAUAGGGUCUGCAGAGCAUGGUUUGCACUAAUCAAAGUUUUGUUGGAUAGCUGACUUGUAGGACAAAUAUUCUGCAUGUUCAGGUUAUAGCAGUAACAGGAGCAUGCUAAAAUUUUUGCUAAAUUAGAUGUAAAAAGUAGAGCGACAAUGCAAUUUUAUUCUAACCAAAUGAAUUAACUGUUUUGGAAUCAUGUUCUCUUCUGGUUGCUAAAUUAAAUUGGAUUGCUUGGUGCAGAAAUUAAAAAAAAAUCACAGUUACAGAUGACCACCUUUCUUUGUAAAUGUCUUGCUCUUUCAGGUGUCUUUGCUGCUUCUUUUAAUUACCUGAACUAUUUCAGACAUUGAGGAGCACAUGAGAUUUGUUCAGACAUGUAUCCUUAGCUCCUCAGGUAAUUGCAAAAUAACUUGAGAAUGAUGCACGCUCAUGCUAUCCCAAUGGAACAUUUAAAUUAAAGAAUUUUCAACUAAGCCACAUGGGUACAUGGUUUCUCUUUCAGGUUAACUGAAAGUUGUUUCUAAAAUCUGGAUACUCUUUUAAAAGAGAUAUGUAGUAUGUCGGUCCUGCAUGAAUGAACAAACUAAAAGAAGAGAAGAAAUAGAUAUAGCCUCCUGUCUGUUUGAAUGAUAGCCAUCAACAUAAACAACCUAAAAUUUAUUCAUUUCCUGAUUUAUAUGGUUACUAAAUCAAGAACAAGAACUGUCGGAUGAUCAGGCUUCUUCUCAUUUCCCUAAAACCUAGCAUGCAGCUAGCUAAAUGAAGUUGUAUGCUUCCCCCCCCCCCCCCCCCCCCAACCAAUCAAAGUUGCUACAUGUACAUCUACUAUUUGUAACAUCAGGUCGGACAAAGUGUUCCAACAAUUAAUUAUAUAUUGAGCAAA